rfam:Oleiphilus sp. HI0065 HI0065_c2013, whole genome shotgun sequence.
CUUCUUCGACCUGUUGCGGACAAAUAAAGUGAAUGUGCGCGUCGACGCCGCCGGCCGUGAGUAUCUGCCCCUCCCCUGCGAUCACUUCCGUUCCCGGACCAACAUUCAUGGUUACGCCUUCUUGCGUGUCAGGAUUUCCGGCCUUACCUAUCGCAACAAUGCGGCCUUCUUUAAUACCGACGUCAGCUUUAACGAUCCCCCAAUGAUCCAGAAUCAGCGCGUUGGUAAUAACUGUAUCAACCACCUCGCUUGCAAGGGCUUGGCUUUGGCCCAUGCCAUCGCGAAUG